rnacentral:rRNA from 1 species
AUUGAACGCUGGCGGCAGGCCUAACACAUGCAAGUCGAGCGGAUGAAGGGAGCUUGCUCCUGGAUUCAGCGGCGGACGGGUGAGUAAUGCCUAGGAAUCUGCCUGGUAGUGGGGGAUAACGUCCGGAAACGGGCGCUAAUACCGCAUACGUCCUGAGGGAGAAAGUGGGGGAUCUUCGGACCUCACGCUAUCAGAUGAGCCUAGGUCGGAUUAGCUAGUUGGUGGGGUAAAGGCCUACCAAGGCGACGAUCCGUAACUGGUCUGAGAGGAUGAUCAGUCAAAGGGGAAGUGAGACACGGCCCAGAUCCGGAGGGGGGCCGGCGUGGGGAAUUUUUGAACAAGGGGCGAAGGCUUAACCCGGCCUGGCGGGGGGUGGAAAGAAGUCUUGGGAAUUGAAAACCAUUUUAGGUUGGGAGAAAGGGAAGUAAGUUAAUACCUGCUUGUUUGGACGUCCCAAAAAGAAUAAGCACCGCCUAUCUUCGG